GUGGGGAAUUUUGGACAAUGGGGGCAACCCUGAUCCAGCAAUGCCGCGUGCAGGAAGAAGGCCUUCGGGUUGUAAACUGCUUUUGUACGGAACGAAACGGUCCUGGUUAAUACCUGGGGCUAAUGACGGUACCGUAAGAAUAAGCACCGGCUAACUACGUGCCAGCAGCCGCGGUAAUACGUAGGGUGCAAGCGUUAAUCGGAAUUACUGGGCGUAAAGCGUGCGCAGGCGGUUUUGUAAGACAGGCGUGGAAUCCCCGGGCUCAACCUGGGAAUGGCGCUUGUGACUGCAAGGCUGGAGUGCGGCAGAGGGGGAUGGAAUUCCGCGUGUAGCAGUGAAAUGCGUAGAUAUGCGGAGGAACACCGAUGGCGAAGGCAAUCCCCUGGGCCUGCACUGACGCUCAUGCACGAAAGCGUGGGGAGCAAACAGGAUUAGAAACCCGAGUAGUCC
rnacentral:rRNA from 1 species